rnacentral:rRNA from 1 species
GAUGAACGCUGGCGGCGUGCCUAAUACAUGCAAGUCGAGCGAAUGGAUUAAGAGCUUGCUCUUAUGAAGUUAGCGGCGGACGGGUGAGUAACACGUGGGUAACCUGCCCAUAAGACUGGGAUAACUCCGGGAAACCGGGGCUAAUACCGGAUAACAUUUUGAACCGCAUGGUUCGAAAUUGAAAGGCGGCUUCGGCUGUCACUUAUGGAUGGACCUGCGUCGCAUUAGCUAGUUGGUGAGGUAACGGCUCACCAAGGCAACGAUGCGUAGCCGACCUGAGAGGGUGAUCGGCCACACUGGGACUGGGACACGGCCCAGACUCCUACGGGAGGCAGCAGUAGGGAAUCUUCCGCAAUGGACGAAAGUCUGACGGAGCAACGCCGCGUGAGUGAUGAAGGCUUUCGGGUCGUAAAACUCUGUUGUUAGGGGAGAACAAGUGCUAGUUGAAUAAGCUGGCACCUUGACGGUACCUAACCAGAAAGCCACGGCUAACUACGUGCCAGCCGCCGCUGUAA